rnacentral:tRNA from 1 species
GGCCGGCUAGCUCAGUUGGUUAGAGCGUGGUGCUAAUACUGGUCUCAAACCCAGAAUUAGGGUUACGCCAAGGUCGUCGGUUCGAUCCCGGCGUUGGCCA